GUGUAGCAUUUAUCGACUCUAAUUAUAGGGACCCUAGUUGUGACUUGUUGUGACAUUUUUUUAAUUGUGAUUCACAAAAUUGUAGCGAACGAAUUUUCCGCGGCAAAUAUUUUUAUUUGAGCGAGUUUUUCUUCAAGAUGUUGGCUAACACUUCCAAAAUUUUCUCCAAGAUGAGUUAUCUCCGUGGAUUCAGCAGUUCUGCUGUAAGAUACAGCGAUAACCUUUUUGUGCAUCGAGAUACGGCAAAAGAUAAUCCCAGUAUUCCAUUUGAAUUUACCGAAGAGAACAAAAAGGUAAGGUUAACAUACACUCAGAAAUAAAUAAAGUCAUUAUUGAAUAUUUUCUAUGCAAAAUUGCGGUUUGACUGGGUUCAUGCAUUAACUGACUAAAUAUGAAUUAGUUAAGCAAGACUUUAUACCAUUUAGUUUUCAGAAUGCAUAUUUUUUAGCAUUUUUUGAAAAAGUUGAUCCUUGUAAUAUUUUCUAAAUUUUAUGCAUUUUAUGUAUAAAUUUAAGUAAAAAUCCGCUUCUCUUUAGGUGUUUCAUUUCAAUAUAUUAAAUUGGUGAAUCAGCAGCUAAAAUUCAACAUGAGGCGUUUCAAGCUGAUAAAUUUACAGUCAGGUUUUUUUUUACGCGGGGGAUACGUACCGCGUAAAAAAAAACUCAGUUCAAAAUUCGAAAAACCGCGUAAAAAAAGUCUAACCAUUUCUCGACGAAUCAUGCAAAAAUAAGACGAUGAAAUUUUUUUUGUAUGGAGUUUUCAUUUACGCGGCCGCGUAAAUCAAAACCGCGUAAAAAAAGACCUGAAAUUGAAUCAUUUUUACAAAGUUCAAUAUUUAAACAUUCAAUGGUUCUGCUGAGAAUCCUUCACUUCCUAUAACCUGCUGGGCUCUAACGAAGAGUAUCCUAGCCCACAAAUAAUAUUCCAAGCCCGAAUGUCCAUAUCCUGAUCCAUUAACAGGAACCUGUUCACGAUGUCAAUCUGGUGCUCUGCAAAGGAUAUGAUGUAAUUAAAUAUGGGAUAAGGAUAAUCUUCGUGGUAACAUAAAAUGAAGGGGCCGAUUUGGUUCACUCACCACGCCAUUUUUCUGAAAUCGCUUCUCGCAGAUAUGGUAGAACUGCACUGCAUCCAUUAUCAGGAACUUCUCGAGUUGUACUAAUAGUUAAUCAAAUAUUACUAAAUAAAUAAACAUACUUGAAAAAAAAAAUAACGAAA